rnacentral:rRNA from 1 species
GUGAGUAACGCGUAGGAAUCUACCCAGUAGCGGGGGAUAAGCCAGAGAAAUUUGGUCUAAUACCGCAUACGCCCUUCGGGGGAAAGCAGGGGAUCUUCGGACCUUGCACUAUUGGAUGAGCCUGCGUGAGAUUAGCUAGUUGGUGAGGUAAUGGCUCACCAAGGCGACGAUCUCUAGCUGGUCUGAGAGGAUGAUUAGCCACACUGGAACUGAGACACGGUCCAGACUCCUACGGGAGGCAGCAGUGGGGAAUAUUGCACAAUGGGCGCAAGCCUGAUGCAGCCAUGCCGCGUGUGUGAAGAAGGCCCUAGGGUUGUAAAGCACUUUCAGCAGUGAGGAAAGGUUAGUAGUUAAUACCUGCUAACUGUGACGUUAACUGCAGAAGAAGCACCGGCUAACUCCGUGCCAGCAGCCGCGGUAAUACGGAGGGUGCGAGCGUUAAUCGGAAUUACUGGGCGUAAAGCGCGCGUAGGUGGAUUGGUCAGUCAGAUGUGAAAGCCCAGGGCGCAACCUUGGAACUGCACCUGAUACUGCCAGUCUAGAAUACGGU